UUUUUCACUUACUGCAUCUUGGAGAUCUUUCUACACUAAUCCAAGUUGAUCAGUUCUUUUUAGAAGUUGCACAAUAUCCUAUUAGAUGAUGUGCUAUAACUCAAAUGCCUGGACAGUACUUCUUACUGCGCAUGAUACGUACUCCGUGAGCUGGGAACCCAGCACAGGGUCUGAAUCUACGCUGCUCUGUCCACACUGCACCUUUGCCGAAAAAGGGAACACAUGGUUGCACAGGCCAAUGACUGAAGAGCUGACCCAAGGUCUGGAGCUGGAGCAGCCAUCUUGGGCCACGAGGUAGAAGCCCGAUGUUGAAGAGGACGGAACAACAAGACAGAACAAAGCAGGUUCUAAGAAUGUCUCCUUCGCACCAAAACAGAACAUUCCAGAAUGCAUCCCUCCUAAAUAAAGGCUGCCAACUCCUCAUCAGGAAUGAAAUGUCCUUUGGGAUUUUUUUAUCAUCUCUAAAAUGACGAUAAAAAAAUUCAGCUCUCUGUAGUCCUGGAUAAACCAGUAGGGAAGGAGAACUAAACUUUCUGGAGGAGUCUCACAACAUACCCGUGGGAGGCUGUGGAGUGUGCACUUGUCACAUUGAGCCCGGAGGACGGCGGGGAGUAGAAACCUCAACAUUUAUCUGCAGCGACUGCUCAUACCUGAGAAUCAUGGUGAGAGGUGUGGUCAAAGAGAAAACCCUAGACUCUGCUUCUUACCAGCUGCGUGACCUUGGGCAAGCCCCUUAUCCUCUCUGGGCUUCAGUUUCACCCUCAAUCAGAAAGAAGGAUCUCUGUCCCAGAGGGUUAUCUUAGCAGUAAGUGGGGGAGCCUGUAAGUUAGUAUUAAAACAUGCUACUAUCAUUGUUAUUAUGUUAACUUACUGUGAAAGUACAAAGGAUGUUCUUUUUUUAUGUAGAUUAUAAACCAAUUUUUCCUUUUCUUUUUUUGAGAUAUCAGAGUUGUAUCGAUAUACAUUGCAAAAUGUGAAAGGACAGAUGUGGCCCUGCCAUAAUAAUAAUCAGGUCCACAGCUUAAGCAGGAAGGGUUUUCAUGUUCAAACCCAGUUAGCUUAAAGUAAGUUGUCGCACUUGGGAAAUAUUGCCUUGUCUUUCUGGAAACAAAAAAGAAGAAAGAAAGAAAAAGAAAAGAGAAGAGAAGAGAAAAGAAAAAAGAAAGAAAGAGAACAUGUCCUAAAGCAACCCAAAAACUGUUAAAUUUUGAAAUACCCCUGGCCCCAAAGUCUCACUUCAGACACUGUUUCCUCUUUCCUGAAUAUUCUAGCCCAAUAUGCAUGACUUUUUGCCUCUGCCCCAGGGCCCCACAGAAAGAACAGACAGGACAUGACUUUGCCCAAAUUAGUUUCACUUUCUCCAACCAGGCCAGUCACAGCCAUGGAGAGCUGCCUCCCAUGGCGCUGAGGGCAUUUCUGUUUUUCUUAGUGCAAGGCAGGGAGGACUUAAGUCAGAGAGCUCGGUGAUGCAAUGAAUUUUCCAGCUGCCAAUGACACUAGAACCUCAUCACAUUUUUUUGUCUUCCUUCCUAACCCCGGAGUGUAGCAAGCAUCCAUGUUCUCAUUAACAAAGCCACCUGUUGCAUUACCACCUGUGAUGACUGAGGCAACCUUUGUCUACUACUUAUUUACCAUCUGGCUUCACAAGAUGGAAGCUACGUAGUGCAAAUAGCAGAGAAAUAAAGUUGGAAGGCAGCUGGGUCCCCAACUUCAUGGAACCACAUACCAACUCUGGAAAGCUUCUGCGUGAUGAAAUCACCAAGAGCCUUCCAAAAACCAGAUGUUCCUGUCCCUCUCAGGAUGACUACCAUCCCCCAUAGCUCUCUGCUAGACUCAUCUCAACCCCACUCUGCUCUAAUGCCAGCACAAACAGAUGGCCUGGGGAGCAGUGUUCUCUUCAUCUCAUCAACUUCUCUUUGUCAUACUGUAGCUUGAUCCUUCUGGAGAAUGGUAUUCAAUCACCAGAGACUCAUUCUGUAGAGCUUGAUUGACCAAGGGGAGAGAACAAUCUUCUUACUAUAGCCUAAAUGUAGAUAUCUGGGACCCCAGCCUGUCUCCCCACCCCACCCCACAUCUGAUAUGUAAACAGCUACGUUUUAAACAACUUCUCAAAUUCUGAGGGUUUUAUCUGUCUAAUCAGCUUAGUGUUGAGGGAGUUUGGAGCAGUCAGACACUCACUCGCCAAUGGCUAAAAGAGAAAGAAAUACAUAAAAAGAUUUGUUAGUAGUCACUUUGUGCAAAGCAGAACUCACAUUUGUCUUCCGUCUAAAAAGCUGGUCAUCGACUUUUUUUUUUUUUUUUAAUUUUAAUUAUU